rnacentral:lncRNA from 1 species
GGAUACUGGUAACAAGAAAGAUGAAGGACCCAAGGAAAUGUCAAAAAACGAAGAUUCGAUCCAACUCAACAAGGCCCUAUCUGAAGAAAUGCAUUUCAAAGAGCUGCUUCUUUCACUAUUGGAUGUUGGCCUACAGGCACUCUAACUUCACUUGCGUUCGCAUGACUUCCUUUUUCUUAACAAUCUCCAGUGGCAUGAGAAGCUAAUUUUGAAAGGGU